GCUAGCUACAGGCUUAACACAUGCAAGUCGAGGGGAAACGACAUCGAAAGCUUGCUUUUGAUGGGCGUCGACCGGCGCACGGGUGAGUAACGCGUAUCCAACCUGCCCACCACUUGGGGAUAACCUUGCGAAAGUAAGACUAAUACCCAAUGACGUCUCUAGAAGACAUCUGAAAGAGAUUAAAGAUUCAUCGGUGAUGGAUGGGGAUGCGUCUGAUUAGCUUGUUGGCGGGGUAACGGCCCACCAAGGCUACGAUCAGUAGGGGUUCUGAGAGGAAGGUCCCCCACAUUGGAACUGAGACACGGUCCAAACUCCUACGGGAGGCAGCAGUGAGGAAUAUUGGUCAAUGGACGAGAGUCUGAACCAGCCAAGUAGCGUGCAGGAUGACGGCCCUAUGGGUUGUAAACUGCUUUUAUAAGGGAAUAAAGUGAGUCUCGUGAGACUUUUUGCAUGUACCUUAUGAAUAAGGACCGGCUAAUUCCGUGCCAGCAGCCGCGGUAAUACGGAAGGUCCGGGCGUUAUCCGGAUUUAUUGGGUUUAAAGGGAGCGUAGGCCGGAGAUUAAGCGUGUUGUGAAAUGUAGAUGCUCAACAUCUGCACUGCAGCGCGAACUGGUUUCCUUGAGUACGCACAAAGUGGGCGGAAUUCGUGGUGUAGCGGUGAAAUGCUUAGAUAUCACGAAGAACUCCGAUUGCGAAGGCAGCUCACUGGAGCGCAACUGACGCUGAAGCUCGAAAGUGCGGGUAUCGAACAGGAUUAGAUACCCUGGUAGUCCGCACGGUAAACGAUGGAUGCCCGCUGUUGGUCUGAAUAGGUCAGCGGCCAAGCGAAAGCAUUAAGCAUCCCACCUGGGGAGUACGCCGGCAACGGUGCAACUCAAAGGAAUUGACGG
rnacentral:rRNA from 1 species